UUUUUAGAGUUUGAUUCCCGCUCAGGACGAACGCUGGCGGCGUGCCUAAUACAUGCAAGUCGAACGCUUCUUUCCUCCCGAGUGCUUGCACUCAAUUGGAAAGAGGAGUGGCGGACGGGUGAGUAACACGUGGGUAACCUACCCAUCAGAGGGGGAUAACACUUGGAAACAGGUGCUAAUACCGCAUAACAGUUUAUGCCGCAUGGCAUAAGAGUGAAAGGCGCUUUCGGGUGUCGCUGAUGGAUGGACCCGCGGUGCAUUAGCUAGUUGGUGAGGUAACGGCUCACCAAGGCCACGAUGCAUAGCCGACCUGAGAGGGUGAUCGGCCACACUGGGACUGAGACACGGCCCAGACUCCUACGGGAGGCAGCAGUAGGGAAUCUUCGGCAAUGGACGAAAGUCUGACCGAGCAACGCCGCGUGAGUGAAGAAGGUUUUCGGAUCGUAAAACUCUGUUGUUAGAGAAGAACAAGGACGUUAGUAACUGAACGUCCCCUGACGGUAUCUAACCAGAAAGCCACGGCUAACUACGUGCCAGCAGCCGCGGUAAUACGUAGGUGGCAAGCGUUGUCCGGAUUUAUUGGGCGUAAAGCGAGCGCAGGCGGUUUCUUAAGUCUGAUGUGAAAGCCCCCGGCUCAACCGGGGAGGGUCAUUGGAAACUGGGAGACUUGAGUGCAGAAGAUGAGA
rnacentral:rRNA from 1 species